rnacentral:rRNA from 1 species
AGGAAAUAGAUACCCUGGUAGUCCACGCCGUAAACUAUGAACGCUAGCCGUUGGCGAGCUUGCUCGUCAGUGGCGCAGCUAACGCAUUAAGCGUUCCGCCUGGGGAGUACGGCCGCAAGGUUGAAACUCAAAGAAAUUGACGGGGGCCCGCACAAGCGGUGGAGCAUGUGGUUUAAUUCGACGCAACGCGCAGAACCUUACCAGGGUUUGACAUCCCGAGACCGCUCUUGAAAGAGAGUUUCCCGCAAGGGCUCGGAGACAGGUGCUGCAUGGCUGUCGUCAGCUCGCGUCGUGAGAUGUUGGGUUAAGUCCCGCAACGAGCGCAACCCUCGCCUUUAGUUGCCAUCAUUAAGUUGGGCACUCUAGAGGGACCGCCGGCGACAAGCCGGAGGAAGGUGGGGAUGACGUCAAGUCCUCAUGGCCCUUACACCCUGGGCUACACACGUGCUACAAUGGCGGUGACAAUGAGCAGCUAGCUCGCGAGAGCAUGCUAAUCUCAAAAAA